GUAGGCGGGACUGCAAGUCAGAUGUGAAAGUUUGCGGCUCAACCGUAAAAUUGCAGUUGAAACUGGCAGUCUUGAGUACAGUAGAGGUAGGCGGAAUUCGUGGUGUAGCGGUGAAAUGCUUAGAUAUCACGAAGAACUCCGAUUGCGAAGGCAGCUCACUAGACUGCAACUGACACUGAUGCUCGAAAGUGUGGGUAUCAAACAGG
rnacentral:rRNA from 1 species